rnacentral:rRNA from 1 species
AUUGAACGCUGGCGGCAGGCCUAACACAUGCAAGUCGAGCGGAGCGGCGGACGGGUGAGUAAUGCCUAGGAAUCUGCCUGGUAGUGGGGGAUAACGUCCGGAAACGGGCGCUAAUACCGCACACCUUCAGAUGAGCCUAGGUCGGAUUAGCUAGUUGGUGGGGUAAAGGCCUACCAAGGCGACGAUCCGUAACUGGUCUGAGAGGAGUAUCAGUCACACUGGAACUGAGACACGGUCCAUACUCCUACGGAAGGCAGCAGUGGGGAAUAUUGGAAAAUGGGCGAAAGCCUUAUCCAGCCAUGCCGCGUGUGUGAAGAAGGUCUUCGGAUUUUAAAGGUCUUUAAGUUGGGAGGCGUUACCAACAGAAUAAGCACCGGCUAACUUCGUGCCAGCAGCCGCGGUAAUUC